rnacentral:tRNA from 2 species
GUUGAGAUGGUCGAGUUGGUCUAAGGCGUGUCCGAAAGGGUGUGGGUUCAAAUCCCACUCUCAACA